rnacentral:rRNA from 1 species
UACAGAGGUCCCAAGCGUUGUUCGGAUUCACUGGGCGUAAAGGGUGCGCAGGUGGGCUGUCAAGUUCGAUGUGAAAGCCCCGGGCUUAACCCGGGAACGGCAUUGAAAACUGAUGGUCUGGAGGGUUGGAGGGGGGACUGGAAUUCUUGGUGUAGCAGUGAAAUGCGUAGAUAUCAAGAGGAACACCAGUGGCGAAGGCGAGUCCCUGGACAAUACCUGACACUGAGGCACGAAAGCCAAGGGAGCAAACAGG